AAUAAGUGUUUUAUGGCACUUUUUUAAAUCCAUAUCCACCUUGUGUGCAAUGUCAGGGUUGGUCUCUUGAAAAAGAGAUCAGCCCCAAACAUCAACCCAAUCUUAACUCUUUGUCUGAAAAACUAUUAUGAAUACUUAAUUCAAAAUACAACUUCCAACAACGGAUCUCUUGGCUCU
rnacentral:misc_RNA from 1 species